UGGCGAACGGGUGAGUAACACGUGGGUGAUCUGCCCUGCACUCUGGGAUAAGCCUGGGAAACUGGGUCUAAUACCGGAUAGGACCAUGCUUUAGUGUGUGUGGUGGAAAGUUUUUUCGGUGUAGGAUGAGCCCGCGGCCUAUCAGCUUGUUGGUGGGGUAAUGGCCUACCAAGGCGGCGACGGGUAGCCGGACUGAGAGGUUGGUCGGCCACAUUGGGACUGAGAUAUGGCCCAG
rnacentral:rRNA from 1 species